rnacentral:rRNA from 1 species
ACAUACGCCCAUAGACUCAAGGGAAUUGGGCAUCCGGUCCGCUCUGCCGUACACAAGCUUGAGAUCGGUGGAUUAGUAGUUGGGUGGGUGAGUGACCACCAGCGAAUACCCACUGUUAUAUGUU